rnacentral:rRNA from 1 species
GACGAACGCUGGCGGCGUGCUUAACACAUGCAAGUCGAACGGAAAGGCUCUGCUUUUGUGGGGUGCUCGAGUGGCGAACGGGUGAGUAACACGUGAGUAACCUGCCCUUGACUUUGGGAUAACUUCAGGAAACUGGGGCUAAUACCGGAUAGGAGCUCCUGCUGCAUGGUGGGGGUUGGAAAGUUUCGGCGGUUGGGGAUGGACUCGCGGCUUAUCAGCUUGUUGGUGGGGUAGUGGCUUACCAAGGCUUUGACGGGUAGCCGGCCUGAGAGGGUGACCGGCCACAUUGGGACUGAGAUACGGCCCAGACUCCUACGGGAGGCAGCAGUGGGGAAUAUUGCACAAUGGGCGGAAGCCUGAUGCAGCAACUCCGCGUGCGGGAUGACGGCCUUCGGGUUGUAAACCGCUUUCGCCUGUGACGAAGCGUGAGUGACGGUAAUGGGUAAAGAAGCACCGGCUAACUACGUG